CGUGUAGGCGGCGGAUUUAGUUAGGCGUGAAAGCCCCGGGCUCAACCUGGGAACUGCGCCUAAUACUGAUCUGCUAGAGUCCGGGAGAGGCGAGUGGAAUAUCCAGUGUAGAGGUGAAAUUCGUAGAUAUUGGAUGGAACACCAGUGGCGAAGGCGGCUCGCUGGACCGGAACUGACGCUGAGGCGCGAAAGCGUGGGGAGCAAACAGGAUUAGAUACCCUGGUAGUCC
rnacentral:rRNA from 1 species